AGUCAUUGUUUGCGGGUGCAGCAUCAUCAAGAUUCACAAGUGAGUAGUGUGACAUGAUUUAAUCGAUUUAGUCAUGUCGAUUGAACUCGAGGAGUUGAGAAUCUUGAUGAUGCUGCAUCAGCAAUAGCUGACU